GGAACUUGAGGUGUUUAAAAUUUUGAUUUCAUUCCCAAAGGGCAAACUAGUCCACCAAUUAUAGAGAGUGCUCGGGGUCUUAUCUAGGAUCAUGAACAUAGGAGGCUUUUCGUCCCUUGCUCUUUUCUGGCCAUUUCUUUGCGGAGUACCAAUGAUGAUCCUAAAAAUAAAGAAAUAAUGAAAAAUUAAGACUCGCCUAACCCAUAUACAGACUCUAAAAAAAAGAUUGCCGUUGUUUUUUCCCUAUUAGAAAAAUUGGCGCCCUCAAUACGACCUUUCAGCACUUAAAGAAGAUAUUAAGGCUGUGUUUUGUUCACCGAAGAAAAAUUUUAAGGGAUGACUAUAGGUAAAUGCUCUUGCGAAACAGUCCUCCAGCGCCCUUUUUCUAGACGUUUGGCUGUUUUACUUAAGAAUAACAUUACCUUUACAUCAUGACAAAAUCAUUGACAUUUUAACAAAACAGUUAAACCCGAUAUGGGUCUCCUACGUAUCCCACAUCUGGUGAGAAUCAAACUUACGUAGUUCUAAAAAAGUAAUUUUAGAAAAAAAUAAGACUCUUCGUUUUUCCUUCAACAAAAUCCUUUUUUUCCUUUUUGGUUCUAGGUAAAACAAACUAUUAAAAAAAAUAUUUUAUUUUGAAAUUUCGGCAGAGUUUCGACAACAUUCGGGAAUUGGUUUUUCUACAAAUAUGCCAUAAAUUCUCAUUUUUUCACAAUAUUCCCACGAUUCAGAAGCCGGUCAAUAUGCAAGUCCGAAACAAAUAAAUGCACAGAGAAACAAAUAGAUGCAUCAGUAUGGUCUUUUCAUUUCAGGUUGCUAGUCCUAGACGGACCCAAUCCCUGUGUUGAGUCCCAUAAGUCAAAUGCAUAUGAUGCAGAUAAAUGUUCCUACUAGGGAUCCGGCAUGAAGCUUUGUUAUACUAGGUUAAAUACCUGGGUAUUGUUCUAGACCUGACAUACCCGAGCAGAUGACUCAAGCCGAAGAGGGCCAGUGUAGCCGGUAGCAUUACUUUCCGGCUAAACUGGCAGUGCUCCCCGCCUAAUGCAGAUGUGACUAAAAUCAUUCACCGGGUGCCAAGCACAUCAGCUAUCUCAAAGAAAGCGGGUUAUGUCAAGCAAAUGCCCAAUUUUGGUUUCAAGAAGACUCAGAGGGGGUGCGUGACAAGACAGUUUAUAUACACAAUUCAAGAAUUAUCAAAGCAGUAAAAAUCAACAUUUAGCACUCGUAAGACAAAACACAUAAUAAGAAUCACAUAAUAAACAAGCCAAAUACAACAAUUAUUCCAAUCUCCAAUUCUUGAACCCUGAACCAGUAGUUCUGGGUUGUACUCCCCAGCAGAGUCGCCAGAGCUGUCACACCUCCUUUUUGUGCGCCUAAUCCCGGAGGAUAAAAAUACGCAAGGGAGUUUUUCCAAUUUAAGUGACAAUAUUCGAAAUGGGGUUAUUUAUUUAUCUCAGAGUCGCUACUUGGGAAAGGUUUGGCUUUUGGUGUCCCAAGUCACCGAUUUAUCUUGAAUCCCAAUUAGAGGAAAAUAUUCAACUUUUCAAAUGAAGUCUGCGAACCAGAAAUUCUAAGUAAGGAAUUCUGUUGACCCGAGGGAAGAUGUUAGGCAACCCCGGAUCCCGUGGUUCUAGAACGGUCACAUAAAUCGUUGUAAUGCUUAAAUAUCUGAUUUUAAGACAUGUUAUAACUUAUGUGCUUUUAUUAACAACGAACCGCUUUUAUUUAUUAUGUAUUUAUUUAAGAGAAAGUGAACGUCAUUUAAAGUACAUUUUCGGAUUGUGCCGCAUGAAAUGAACCCGCAAGCCUAAGCACACUCUAUUCAACGUUUGAGGAUUUGGAUUUGGAUCGCAUAAAAUGCCUACCCGUAUUUAAGGAGGUAAUUUUAUUAAAAUCCCGCAUAAUAGAGUCCAACGCAUUAUAUUAUUUUCGGAGGGCCGUGAAAUUCGCUAAACGAACCAUCCGAUUUUCUAAUUAUUUUUAAACCUUUAUUGAUGGCCCCGCAAUUUGUAAUGUACAGUGGAGAGGCACACCUCCUUUAUUUUAAGGAUAUCCUAAAGUGACUACAUUUUUUCUAUUAAAUUUUGUCUUUAAAAUAAAAGAGAAUAAUCCUAAUUAAUUACAUACUUACAAAAUGGCGUACCAUAUUAGUUGUUAGAUUAGGACAAAUAUUAACGGAAAAAGAAUAUUACUAAAAUUAAAAUUAUAAAUAAAAUAUGGAAUUCAACAAAUAAUAUAUUCAAAAGAGACUAAUUAUCCUAAAACGAAUUUAAACUCACGUUGUUAGUUGACUUGAACCAUUGAAAUUAAUUAUUUACAACUGUUUGAAACUAGAUUUGACCUUAACUACUAAAGCUUGUUCAAAGGAUGGUUAGACUAACUCCAGUUGGCCAAGUGCUUCUUAUGAUCCUAACCAGAUUAAUUAGCUAAACUAGCUACAAUUGAAAAUUCUACGUGAGUGUAUAUGUAAUUAGGAGUUCUUUCUUUUCAGUUUGAGUAAUGGGCGAUUCAUAUCAACUUAAAAAAAAAUUGUUACACCAUAUACCUUACUUUAUUAGUAGCACACAAACUAAACCAUAUUAUUAACUUUUGAAUUUUAGGCAUCAACUGUUGAAUGAAAAUCACGAGUCCUAAACAAAUAGCUUCCUGGUCUGGCUCACUUCUGCAUUUGAAAUUACGCUACAUGAUAUUUGACUAAAUUGAUAAGGCCAAUGAUUUGUUACUCUACCGGUUCAUUCAGUUAGUUAUAGUCCAAUAGUCCUGAUUAUACAAAUGACAACAUAAGAGAAAACUUAAACAACACCCUUUUUUAUACAUUAGAACUCGAACAGAAAAGAAAUGCAGAACUCGAAUCUAAAUAGCGUCUCUUCAUCAGUAUAUUUUAAUGAAGAAUAAAAUUGAAAUUUAAAUACUAGGGACUAAAGUAACGACAUUCACAUAAAAAUCUUCAUUUAUUAUUUCACUUCAUAACUUCAACACACAUGAUCAGAAUGUGUACCUGGAAUGUGAAAUAGAAGAAGAGGAGAGCGACAACAGUAAUAACAACAACAGACCUCAGCAACACAACAAAGCCAGGAAAUCAAAAUAUGGCCCAAAAACACAUUGGAUCGAGCGGAAUUAGCGACAAAAGUUCCAGCAGUAGAGAAAAAUCAAACCAAAUUUCGAAAUGGUUUCAAAACCAAAUAAGAUUGCAAGAGGACCCCAACAACAGUACCAAGAUGCUCAAAAGUGAAUCCAACAACUACAAACCAAACUCGAAUGAAACAGAAAAAAAUCGUGCUUUUUCUUUAAGGAAAUGUAGGAACUGAAGUUCUAGUUGGAGGUUGGAAACAAACUUAGGGAAUUGAAGGCAAUGAAACAAUAUUUUCUUUGUUGUCAAGAACUCUUCAGACUGACUUCCUAUGCAAAAAGAACCUUACCUUUUUGUUUUUAUUUCUCAAUUUUCUCUCUCUAAGGGUUUCCAAAAGCCAGUCUAAUUUUUUUAACACCACUAAUUUCUUUUU
rnacentral:lncRNA from 1 species